rnacentral:lncRNA from 1 species
CGACGCACAAUCAGCUCAUUUCCCUCUCUGAUCGUCACCUCAUGCACGUCACGGCUGCUUUGCACGGAAUUCCGAAAGAAAUCUAAAGGAUCAAAUCAGAACGGGUCUGCAUCUCCGGCCAGUAGCGACAUGGCGAAAGCUCCAGGUGAAUGUUGAUGGAUUAAAUUCCCAUACUAUCUGGAUGUGUACAGGGCUUUAAAAGGACCUGUUUGGUAAAGGUAUGAACUUCCCUUGUAAUAGAUGAUUUUAACUCUGUUUGCCUGAUUGUUUAAUAACUAUUUUUUUCCUUUAGGACCGUGAGUAAGUCCCACCAACCUUUUAACCCUUUUUUUUUUUUUUUUUUACAUAUACGUUUGACCCUGGGACUGUAUUGUUUAUUGUAAUCAUUACUUUUACCUAUCACUGCAAACGUGUUAAGUUGCUGUGGUUUUGUUGGUUUGCUGUGGCCUGGUUUUAAAGUGAUAGUGAUGAACUGUUUAUAUUUUCAUGUGCCAUUAUAA